rnacentral:misc_RNA from 1 species
AUCAUCUUCUCAAGCAAGACAAUAAGCAAUUCCCCCAUUACAUUCCUCUCCCUGUCAGCAAAACAACAACCCAAAAAUGGCUGAAAACCCAAUUCGUUUUGGUAUCAUGGGAUGUGCAAAGAGAGCAAGAAAAUUGGCAAGUGCCAUAGACCUAGCCCCCAAUUCAACUCUCUAUGCUAUUGCUAGUGGCUCACUGGAAAAGGCUCAGUUAUUUGCCACUGAGAAUGAAUUGCCUAAAACCAUCAAGAUUUAUGGUAGCUAUCAAGAAUUUCUUGAUGACCCUUCCAUUGAUGUUGUUUACAUGCCAUUGCCAAGUAGCCUUCAUCUCCAAUGGGCUGUCUUAGCUGCCCAGAAGAAGCAUCAUUUGCUGCUGGAGAAGCCACCUGCACUUGAUGUGGUUGAGCUUGAUGAGAUUUUGGAAGCAUGUGAAUCCAAUGGCGUACAAUUCAUGGAUGGAUCUAUGUGGUUGCACCACCCUAGGACUGCCAAAAUGAAGGAGCUUCUCUCUGAUCCCAAGCUAAUUGGACAACUUGAAUUUGUAAGUUCAUUCUUCUAUUUUCUUAUAAUGUUGGCCUAAUUAUUCUAAAUAUCUUGAAUUAGUGCGAUUUACUUAUUAAAUAAUAAAUUAAGCCCUGCUUUGAUUGUUGCUGUGAUGAUACUCAGAUUCACAGCACAUCCACAAUGUCACCACCUCCAGAAUUUUUCAAGGACGAUAUAAGAGUAAAACCAGACAUGGAUGCUCUUGGUGCACUUGGUGACUUAGGCUGGUAUUGCAUUGGAAGUGUCUUGUGGGCUAAAAACUACAGACUACCAAAUCUAGUCACUGCUUUACCUGGCGUCAUCAAGAACUCAGCUGGAAUCAUCUUACAAUUUUCAGCCUCCUUACACUAUGAUGAGCCAGACCUGUUCAAGACAGUUGCUAUCAUCCAUUGCUCUUUUCUCUCCCAUUCAUCCAUGGACUUGAAAAUGAUCGGUUCGAGUGGAUCGAUCCAUCUCAUGGACUUCAUCAUCCCAUUCCAGGAGGAUUCUGCUUCCUUUAGCAUCACAUUGCUUGCAAAGUUUGUGGAUCUCCACAUUGGGUGGAAUGUGAAGCCUGAAAAGGUUGUGGUGGCUAAUGAACUACCACAAGAGGCUUUGAUGGUUCAAGAGCUUGCUAGGCUUGUAGAGGAUAUUGGGAAAUCCGUGUCUUGUCCUGAUAGAAAAUGGCCUCAGAUUAGCAGAAAGACUCAAUUAGUAUUGGAUGCAGUUAAGAAAUCUAUUGAUCUUGGUUGCAAACCUGUUUAUUUGUAAUUAUUCUCAUGUUAUGAGCUUAUUUAUAAAUAAAAAUUGUAAAAAAAACGUAGAGUUUUGUCUCAAUAUAUACUUUGUUUCCUACUAUUUCAUAAUUAAUUUUUUUAGUUCCUGAGAUUUAUUAAUGGAUGUAGAAAAAAUUAUUGGCAAAA